GCUCCUGUGGCCGAGCAGACGCAGGCCCCCGCCUUCUAAGCGGAACAACACAGGUACAACUCCUGUCAGGAGCA
rnacentral:tRNA from 2 species